rnacentral:rRNA from 1 species
GACGAACGCUGGCGGCGUGCCUAAUACAUGCAAGUAGAACGCUGAAGGAGGAGCUUGCUUCUCUGGAUGAGUUGCGAACGGGUGAGUAACGCGUAGGUAACCUGCCUGGUAGCGGGGGAUUACUAUUGGAAACGAUAGCUAAUACCGCAUAAUAGUAGAUGUUGCAUGACAUUUGCUUAAAAGGUGCAAUUGCAUCACUACCAGAUGGACCUGCGUUGUAUUAGCUAGUUGGUGGGGUAACGGCUCACCAAGGCGACGAUACAUAGCCGACCUGAGAGGGUGAUCGGCCACACUGGGACUGAGACACGGCCCAGACUCCUACGGGAGGCAGCAGUAGGGAAUCUUCGGCAAUGGACGGAAGUCUGACCGAGCAACGCCGCGUGAGUGAAGAAGGUUUUCGGAUCGUAAAGCUCUGUUGUAAGAGAAGAACGAGUGUGAGAGUGGAAAGUUCACACUGUGACGGUAUCUUACCAGAAAGGGACGGCUAACUACGUG